GUCACUUUGGUGGAGUGGUUAACACGCAGCCCUGCUAUCUCAGCAACGAAGGCUGUUCCUUCGGGAGAGUAGGUUCGAAUCCUGCAGGUGACG